rnacentral:rRNA from 1 species
CCUACGGGUGGCAGCAGUGGGGAAUAUUGCGCAAUGGGCGAAAGCCUGACGCAGCGACGCCGCGUGAGGGAUGAAGGUCUUCGGAUCGUAAACCUCUGUCAGCAGGGAAGAACGGUCACUGUGCUAAUCAGCAGUGAAUUGACGGUACCUGCAAAGGAAGCACCGGCUAACUCCGUGCCAGCAGCCGCGGUAAUACGGAGGGUGCGAGCGUUAAUCGGAAUUACUGGGCGGAAAGCGCUCGUCGGCGGUAUGUCAAGUCAAGGGUGAAAUCCCCGCGCUCAACGUGGGAACUGCCGUUGAAACUGGUAAACUGGAGUGUGCGAGAGGAUAGUGGAAUUCGAGGUGUAGGAGUGAAAUCCAUAGAUAUCUGGAGGAACAUCAGGGGCGAAGGCGACUAUCUGGCACAUAACUGACGCUGAGGAGCGAAAGCGUGGGUAGCAAACAGGAUUAGAUACCCCGGUAGUC